rnacentral:rRNA from 1 species
UACGUAGGUGGCAAGCGUUGUCCGGAAUUAUUGGGCGUAAAGCGCGCGCAGGUGGUUUCUUAAGUCUGAUGUGAAAGCCCACGGCUCAACCGUGGAGGGUCAUUGGAAACUGGGGAACUUGAGUGCAGGAGAGAAGAGUGGAAUUCCACGUGUAGCGGUGAAAUGCGUAGAGAUGUGGAGGAACACCGAUGGCGAAGGCAGGUCUCUGGGCCGAUACUGACGCUGAGACGCGAAAGCGUGGGGAGCAAACAGG